rnacentral:rRNA from 1 species
GAUGAACGCUGGCGGUGUGCCUAAUACAUGCAAGUCGAGCGAGAAGUUUACUUCUAGCGGCGAACGGGUGAGUAACACGUAUCCAACCUACCUUUAAGUCUGGAAUAACAGCAAGAAAUUGUUGCUAAUGCCGGAUAGGUAAUAAUUGCUUAUGUUUUUAUUAUUAAAGAAGCGUUUGCUUCGCUAAAUGAUGGGGAUGCGCAGCAUUAGGUAGUUGGUAGGGUAAUUGCCUACCAAGCCAACGAUGCUUAGCCGGCCUGAGAGGGUGAUCGGCCACACUGGAACUGAGACACGGUCCAGACUCCUACGGGAGGCGAGCAGUAGGGAAUUUUUCGGACAAGUGGGGGAAACCCUGAUCGAGCAACACCGCGUGAGGGAUGACGGAUC